ensembl:lncRNA
UAUUGUCUCAGGCCUAAUCUUUAGGUCUUUGAUCCAUUUUGAGUUAAGGCAGGGAUACUUUUUAAAAGCAUCCAGAUGAUUCUACCGCAGCCAGGUUGAAAACUCCAAUAUAUAAGACAGUCUCCAAGCUUAACUACACUACCCAAGGUCAGCUGCUAGUAAAUGGUGGAGCUGGGCUCUGAAUUCAAAUCCGUAUGGGUCCAGAGUUUGGUUCAAUCAUCACCAUCACUUUGACCACUACUUCUACCAUUUCCACUCCAACAUCUCCUUACAUUUGAAGGAGUUUUACAACUUACACAGCAUAUUCAAAGACAUAGGAAAAUAAAGGUUCUCCAGGAAGCAUAUCUUACGAAAACUAUUGCUUUCAAGAAAUAUUUCAUGACUUCUUAAAUAAAGUCUUCUUCCUUUCCUCCUCUUCCUUUUUCUUUUUAAAGGUUUGGCCUCUAGAAAGUAUUCCCAGUAUAAUGGCAAAACAUUCAGUUUGCCUAUGAGCUUAUAAAUCGAAGUGGUUCUUCGGGGCAAACAAAAAAUCUUUUCAUCUAAAAUCUUAAUUGAGACCAAUUCAGUGCCCUGGGAAUGAGUUCCAGUGUUUAGCUCAGGUUUCUGGCACUGAGCACUGGACCCUGGCCUCAAGCCUGAACUGGGUCACCUUACAGCUGCACCUCAGGGCUGCUUGCCAAGAAGCUAGGCUCAUGGCAGCACUACCCUAUGACUUAACCCCAGAACACUGAGCUUCGAUACCCAACCUGGCUGAAAGCAAUCCACAUGACUACAACUCCAUUUAGUAAACAACUUACAGGAACACCUCGUGUAGCAUUAUGGCACCCUCUGACAUUUCUGGGAGAAAAGAGAACUAAUUUUCAUUAAUUUGUCUAGGGGCAGAGAAGGGGGUUUCUCACAAUUUAAUGUACAGCCAGAAAGUCGUGGAUAACAUAGAAGGGGAAAUGUCUGUCACUUCAAUUUGUAGACAAGUUCGUAGCAACUCUUUCAAAAAGGGAGGAGACUAGAGACCAACGAUCCUGGCCAAGAGAGAUAAGAAAGCCAAGGCCCAGAGAAAUUAAGUGAUUUCUCCAGGAUUCACAGGCAGGAUGCUGCCACAGCAUGCCUGACAGCAGUGCUAGGUCUGCACCUGGGAUCCAAACCUGCGAAUGCUGGGCCCUGAAGCGAGCAUGUGAACUUAACCACUAUGCCACUAGGCUGGCCUCAAUAAUUUGCAUUUUUGACAAGUUCUCAGGCAAGGAUAAUGCUGCUGGUUCCAGGACCAUACUGUGAGAACUUCCCUAAGCUACUUUUGUGUGUUUCUGGGCCUGAUAUCUUAAAUUUGGACUCAACUUUAUCAGCAGUUAGAAAUUCAGAGAUCUAGAAGGAGCUAUCUUUGAAGUUACUGGAGAAGUUACUGAUGCAGAAGACACUUCUGUGGGCCUAGAGGUUCCUUUGUAGGAUCACCUGACAACUCCAGUUCCUCGGAUUUUAUUUCUAUUCCUCUUAAGCUACUCUCUUCAUGCAGGUUCUUCCCUGAGUUACGCUAGUUGGCAGGACAACUUGUCCUCUGGCACUCUCAGCACCACCAGUGCCUCAAACAUCACCACAGUCUCAAUUAGGGGUUUUUUAUUGUAAGCCCUAGAAACCAAUUUGGGCCAACUAAAGCAAAACCAAGAAUUUAUCAGGGAGCUCACACAAUCAAUGUGAAGGCUGGCAAACCAUGCUCCAAAAAAGAAAAGAAUCAGAAAAGAGACUACUUGACACUAGGAGCAUCACCUCUAAGUGUGAAGAGGUAAACAGUGUUUCUUCUGUUCUUGAGUCCCUCUGUUCAAGAUUCAAUUCCAAAUGAGUGUGCCUACCCAUCCCUUAGUUGUACCAGGGCUGCGAAAGAAAGGAUUAUGGUGGAAGUAAGGACUCCUCUUCUUUCAUACGGACCCUCAUCAUCAAGUGGGUGGAUUACUACAACUACAACCUCUUAACUGGUUUUCUUGCUCCUAAUUUAAUCUCCAAUUC